GGAUGCACCGCAGCCGAGGCGGUGGCUGCUGGCAGCAGGAACGCGCGCGCUGGAGCCACUUCCCCAGCAGCUCCGGAACACCGGAGCGAGGCUGAGGGCUGUCCUGUCACGCGCGGGGCGCGUCGUCAUUCCCGGGUGUCCGCAGCAGCGCCGAACUUCACACUGGGGUGCUUUGUUCUGGGGAAAAAAGAAAAAAAAAAACAGAUUUGAAAAAAUUAUUUAUUUUCCUGGCGGAACCCGUGCAGGCUGGAGCUGCGCCCCGCGGCACAUCCGCGCCCCGCUGAGUGUCGCCGUCCUCAGAGGGCACUGCGGCCGCGUCCCCAACGGCUGCAACGGUCGCUGCCGCGCGCGAAGCCCGUGCUGCCCGCCCCGCCCCGCCCGGCAGCGCAGCCCGCGCUCCGCGUGCUCUGUGAGGGACCAUUGCGUUGUUCGCUGCCCCUGCAGCAAACAGCGGGCGUGAAGUGCUCGGAGGUACCGCAGUUCUCGGUGAACGUUGGCUCGGGUGGGGUACGGCUCCGUUGACACCGUGCAGCCCUUGAGUAAGGUACUGCGUUUGCUAGAGACGUGCUGCGAGGUCUGUGCCGCGUUUGCCAGGACUCGGACCAGAAGGUUUGUCACAGCUGAUGUCUCCGAACUUCACCUGCACCUUUGCGUACUUGGUUUGGCUGUAACAGCAAUCUCACCAACGGAGGAAGAAAUAUCAACACGAACAUCAUGUUCUUGCUGGCUGAGGACUCCACAUGCUCACAAUGUACUGUUGCCACCUUCUCACUCAUCUCCAGUCUGCAGUGCGUACCCCAACCGGUGGAUCCGGAGGAGCAGUGGAAGGGUGAACGUAACACCAAAAAUCUCCACCCUCCGUUCCAGUCUCUUUCUCUAAAAAACAAGCAAGGGGAUGUGACCAGCAGAGGGGAUGCGACUUGACAUGGAAUUCCAUUUUCUCAAAGGAUAUCUACCAGAAGUUAGGAUUCACAUCGCAAGGGACAAGUACUGCAAAGGUGUGUGAAAGCCAAUGCUCAGUUGGACAAAAUAUUUUCCUCAGUCGCAGCCACCCAGACUCAGUCUGUAGCCUUGAAUACAGGAGCACUGUCCCAACAAAUUAGAGCAACAGCUUCCAG
rnacentral:lncRNA from 1 species